UUUUUUGAGAGUUUGAUCCUGGCUCAGGAUUAACGCUAGCGGUAUGCCUAAUACACGCAAGUCGAGCGAAAGCAGCAAUGCUUUAGCGGCAAACGGGUGAGUAAUACGUAUCUAAUCUACCCUUUAGAAAGGAACAACAGAUCGAAAGAUUUGCUAAUACCUUAUAAUAUACUAAUUCGCAUGAAAUGGUGUUUAAAGUUCCAUUUGGAACGCUUUAGGAUGAGGGUGCGGCUUAUCAGAUAGUUGGUGAGGUAAUGGCCCACCAAGUCUAUGACGAGUAGCUAUGCUGAGAGGUAGAAUAGCCACAAGGGGACUGAGACACGGCCCCUACUCCUACGGGAGGCAGCAGUAGG
rnacentral:rRNA from 1 species